CCUCCUCCUGCAGUUGAUUAACAAUGGUCUGCAAUUCUCUAACUUCAUCCUCCAUUUUCUUGAUAACGCUAGACCUUGUUUCUAAUGCAUCAUAGCAUCUCAAAAUUUCUGCUUCUGCUGCUUCAAUCUUCAAGUUCUUNCGACCCGUGAUUGCUCUUUCAUUUUCCUGGAAAUUCUCCUUACCUUCCUUCGAAGAAGCCCAUUUUCCAGCUUUGCGAAUUCAAGCUGUUCAAGAACUCUUAGAUACUCC
rnacentral:misc_RNA from 1 species